rnacentral:rRNA from 1 species
CCAUGCGUGCAGUAGCACCAACAGGGAUUGCCUCAGUAACGGCGAGUGAAGCGGCAACAGCUCAAAUUUGAAAUCUGGCCUCACGGUCCGAGUUGUAAUUUGUAGAGGAUGCUUUUGGCGAGGUGCUUUCCGAGUUCCCUGGAACGGGACGCCAUACAGGGUGAGAGCCCCGUACGGUAAGACCACCGAGCCUCUGUAAAGCUCCUUCGACGAGUCGAGUAGUUUGGGAAUGCUGCUCUAAAUGGGAGGUGUACGUCUUCUAAAGCUAAAUACCGGCCAGAGACCGAUAGCGCACAAGUAGAGUGAUCGAAAGAUGAAAAGCACUUUGAAAAGAGGGUUAAAAAGUACGUGAAAUUGUUGAAAGGGAAGCAUUCAUGACCAGACUUGGGCUUGGUUGAACAUCCGGCGUUCUCGCCGGUGCACUCUGCCAGUCCAGGCCAGCAUCAGUUUGCCCCGGGGGACAAAGGCGGUGGGAAUGUGGCUCCCUUCGGGGAGUGUUAUAGCCCGCCGUGUAAUGCCCUGGGGCGGACUGAGGAACGCGCUUCGGCACGGAUGCUGGCGUAAUGGUCAUCAAUGACCCGUCUUGAAACACGGACCAAGGAGUCGUCUUCGUAUGCGAGUGUUCGGGUGUCAAACCCCUACGCGUAAUGAAAGUGAACGUAAGUGAGAGCUUCGGCGCAUCACCGACCGAUCCUGAUGUUCUCGGAUGGAUUUGAGUAAGAGCAUACGGGGCCGGACCCGACAGAAGGUGAACUAUGCCUGUAUAGGGUGAAGCCAGAGGAAACUCUGCUGGAGGCUCGCAGCGGCUCUGACGUGCAAUCGAUCGUCAAUAUGGGCAUGGAGGGCGAAGACUAUCGAACCAUCUAGUAGCUGCUUUCCGCCGAAGUUUCCUCUCCAGAAGGAA